rnacentral:misc_RNA from 1 species
GAUGAAGAACGCAGUAAAAUGCGAUACUUGGUGUGAAUUGCAGAAUCCCGUGAACCAUCGAGUUUUUGAACGCAAGUUGCGCCCAAAGCCUUUUGGCCGAGGGCACGUCUGCCUGGGCGUCACGCAUCGCGUCGCCCCCCACAAUUCUUCGUAAAGGGAACAUGUGUUUUGGGGGCGGAUAUUGGUCUCCCGUGCUCAUGGCGUGGUUGGCCGAAAUAGGAGUCCUUUCGAUGGACGCACGAACUAGUGGUGGUCGUAAAAACCCUCGUCUUUUGUUUCGUGCUGUUGCUCGCAAGGUAAACUCUUUAAAAACCCCAAUGUGUCGUCUCUUGACGACGCUUCGACCGCGACCCCAGGUCAGGCGGGACUACCCGCUGAGUUUAAGCAUAUCAAUAAGCGGAGGA